GAUGAACGCUGGCGGCGUGCCUAAUACAUGCAAGUCGAGCGAACGGACGAGAAGCUUGCUUUUCUGAUGUUAGCGGCGGACGGGUGAGUAACACGUGUAUAACCUACCUAUAAGACUGGGAUAACUUCGGGAAACCGGAGCUAAUACCGGAUAAUAUUUUGAACCGCAUGGUUCAAAAGUGAAAGACGGUCUUGCUGUCACUUAUAGAUGGAUCCGCGCUGCAUUAGCUAGUUGGUAAGGUACCGGCUUACCAAGGCAACGAUGCAUAGCCGACCUGAGAGGCUGAUCGGCCACACUGGAACUGAGACACGCUCCAGACUCCUGCGGGAGGCAGCAGUAUGGAAUCUUCCGCAAUGGGCGAAAGCCUGACGGAGCAGCGCCGCGUGAGUGAUGAAGGUCUUCGGAUCGUAAAACUCUGUUAUUAGGGAAGAACAUAUGUGUAAGUAACUGUGCACAUCUUGACGGUACCUAAUCAGAAAGCCACGGCUAACUACGUG
rnacentral:rRNA from 1 species